CGUGCUCGUGCUCGUCUUGUUGCCUUGUAUUUGUGCUGCGGCGCAGGCUCCGGCGACGAUGCUACGGCGGUUGGCGCUCCGCUCUUCUUCCAGUCUCGCAGAUGCUCCGCCGUUCCGAUCGCGGGAGAGGAAGCUCCUCGAUCCCGUUUUCAGCGGCGGGAGGGCUCUCCAUCCCCAUCCCCAUCCCCAUGCUCUUGCGCUCGCUCGGAGCUUCCUCGAUCUCCACAAGAUGGGCAGCAGGGAAGCCAUCGAGAAGGAGAAGACUAGGCUGUAUGAUCUCUUUCCAUCUAUUGCUGUUCCUUCACGUGCAAUUCGCUUUAAGGUCAGAUGAAUUAAGCAGAGGAUACUUUGCCGACAUAUCAGAGAUCCGUCAAAAUGGCGGCAAGAUUGCCUUGGCAAAUAAAACUAUAAUCCCAGCUGCUGCAGCUGUUAAUUUUCCCAAUCUGGAAGUAAGUGUCCCAGAUGGCAGAAAAUUAAAACUACCCGCUAGUUCUGGAGAAAAACAAACUGAUACAAGUGAAAUGCCUAUUCCUCUGGCAUCAUUGCUGUGCCUUUCCUUUCGGGCAAGCUCACAGAGGAUGGCGGAGUCAUGGAGUCUUCCUUUCGUGGAUGCUUUUAGUGCUUCUGGGAAAAUCCAAAUAUAUGAGGUUUCAUUUAUAGAUUCUUGGUUAUUGUCAUUGGGUCCAGUAAAGCACUUAUUCCUAAAGAUAAUGAAGAAAUCAAGUAAUCCGCAGAGACAGAUUGUUUAUGCAUUUGGAGACAACUAUGACUUCAGGAAAAAACUCCAAAUAUUAAAUCUUCUAACAGGGUAUAUUUUCCUCGUUGAUAGAGUGGGAAGAAUAAGAUGGCAGGGUUUUGGGUCAGCAACAGAAGAAGAGCUGUCUUCGCUUUUAUCAUGCACCUCCCUCUUGUUAGAUGACCAAUGAGGGAGAACCAUGUACCUCUAGAGCUUUUGCGUACCUUGGUAAGGGCUUCCGCGGGCAAUCUGAAGGAUGGGUGGGCCAUUCUCUUUUGCCUAGAUUUGGUUCCUUGGUUGUGGAAAUCUAAAGCUUCCACGUGGCAUGUUGAAAAGUGCUCUGCAUAUUCAGUUCAAUCAUGAACCAGGCCUGACCAUAUAUGCAUGGUCUAACCUUUUUGGUUGAUCCUGUCGAAAUUAUGUUUGGUCUGAAUAAGUUUCUCCUAGAGAUUGUUCAAAUUUAACAGCUUAAAAGGGAAGAGCAUUCUAAUGUCUUGAUCUGUGCAGCUCGGGAUUACAGUAUGCUGCUUCUGACAGUGCUAUGGUCAGUGUUGUUGUCUGUGAUCUUUCAGAUUUCAAUUAUAGUCAAACUCAAUUGCUAUGAUUUCAGGUAAUGACAAGAACGAGGUAGCAAAUUCCAUGCCGCCCCUGUUGUGGGAAAUAUCUAUUACAGCGUCUGGUGACUGCGUAAAAGGUUGGCAGGUUAGUUUCAAACUUUGUAGACAGUUGUUGAAUGACUGGAAUGCUGGAGGGGUUUAGAAUUUCCUGCCCGGAGGCAGCGGAUGAGAAGAGUUGAGAUGAUCAUCAUAUUUGAUGGAA